rnacentral:rRNA from 1 species
UCCUGGCGUCAGGAUGAACGCUAGCUACAGGCUUAACACAUGCAAGUCGUGGGCAGCAUGGUUGUUGCUGCAACAACCGAUGGCGACCGGCGCACGGGUGAGUAACGCGUAUCCAACCUGGCCCUUAGUAGGGGAUAGCCCGGCGAAAGUCGGAUUAAUACCCUAUGUUUUCCCAUGAGAGCAUUUGAAAGGGAACAAAGAUUCAUCGCUAGGGGAUGGGGAUGCGUCCGAUUAGCUUGCCGGCGGGGUAACGGCCCACCGGGGCGACGAUCGGUAGGGGUUCUGAGAGGAAGGUCCCCCACAUUGGAACUGAGACACGGUCCAAACUCCUACGGGAGGCAGCAGUGAGGAAUAUUGGUCAAUGGGCGAGAGCCUGAACCAGCCAAAGUAGCGUGAGGGAUGACGGCCCUACGGGUUGUAAACCUCUUUUGUACGGGAAUAAAGUGCGCCACGCGUGGCGUUUUGUAUGUACCGUAAGAAUAAGGACCGGCUAAUUCCGUGCCAGCAGCCGC